AUUGAACGCUGGCGGCAUGCCUUACACAUGCAAGUCGAACGGCAGCACGGGAGCAAUCCUGGUGGCGAGUGGCGAACGGGUGAGUAAUAUAUCGGAACGUGCCCAGUAAUGGGGGAUAGCCCGGCGAAAGCCGGAUUAAUACCGCAUACGACCUACGGGUGAAAGCGGGGGAUCGCAAGACCUCGCGUUAUUGGAGCGGCCGAUAUCAGAUUAGGUUGUUGGUGGGGUAAAAGCCCACCAAGCCGACGAUCUGUAGCUGGUUUGAGAGGACGACCAGCCACACUGGGACUGAGACACGGCCCAGACUCCUACGGGAGGCAGCAGUGGGGAAUUUUGGACAAUGGGCGCAAGCCUGAUCCAGCCAUGCCGCGUGUGGGAAGAAGGCCUUCGGGUUGUAAACCACUUUUGUCAGGGAAGAAACGGCUUUUUCUAAUAAAGAGAGCUAAUGACGGUACCUGAAGAAUAAGCACCGGCUAACUACGUGCCAGCAGCCGCCGUAA
rnacentral:rRNA from 1 species